GUCCUAAUAAUUUAAAAAAAAAUAUUUGUCUUGUAAACCAAAAAUAAGAUACACUUUUAGAACU
rnacentral:tRNA from 1 species